UGCCUAAACCAUACGGCUAACCGGAUGGCAUGGCACAAAACCAUAGUGGGUACUGAUCCCGUCGUUCAGCAUCCCACUAUGGUCGUACGUCGAAAGGCGUAUGGGUGGCCGAAAGGCUGCC
rnacentral:sRNA from 12 species